rnacentral:rRNA from 1 species
CAGCAGCCGCGGUAAUACGAGGGGGGCAAGCGUUAAUCGGAAUAACUGGGCGUAAAGGGCACGCAGGCGGUGACUUAAGUGAGGUGUGAAAGCCCCGGGCUUAACCUGGGAAUUGCAUUUCAUACUGGGUCGCUAGAGUACUUUAGGGAGGGGUAGAAUUCCACGUGUAGCGGUGAAAUGCGUAGAGAUGUGGAGGAAUACCGAAGGCGAAGGCAGCCCCUUGGGAAUGUACUGACGCUCAUGUGCGAAAGCGUGGGGAGCAAACAGGAUUAGAUACCCGUGUAGUCCCUGUCUCUUAUAC